GGAUUGUGGCUCAGCGGUGGAGUGUUCGCCUCGCACGGGAGGGACCUGGGUUCGAUCCUCAGCACCA
rnacentral:tRNA from 1 species